CAUUGUGCAGCGAAUAUUUAGUGCCCUUCCUCUGCUCGGUUGUGGUGCCCAUGUACAAUUUGGGAAAGAGACCAGCAUGUCGCUCGAGCUGUGAAAAAGUCUUUCGAGAGUGUUCUUAUGCCAGGAGGCGCUUGAACUUUUUGUGGCCUCGUGAGUGGAGGUGCAGUCAAUUUACAGAGAGAAGCUGCUUUAAUUCGACGUCUGCAGUAAGAAAUCGUAGAAUUGAAAACAUUGAAUCUGCACUCAGGAAA